GGAUUAUUUUCUAAGUAUAUAAUUUAAUUAGGUAGUGGAAUACACUGGAAAGCUUUUGGUUUAAUGUUCUUCAUUUGAGGAAUUUACUCAUUGGUUUCUUGGUUAUAGCCUUCUUCUUCCUCUUCCUCUUCCUCUUCCUCUUCUUCUUCCUCUUCUCCUUCCCUUCCUUCCCCUCUCCCUCUUCCCCCCCUCCUCCUACUUCUUCAUACAUUUAUUUAUUUUACAUCCUGGCUUCAGUUUCUCCGCCAUCAUCGUCUCCUCCCAGUCCCUUCCCACAAACUCCCCUCUUCCCCCUCCUCCCAUCCACUCUUCCUGCCUUUCUUUUCCGGAAGCAGCAGUCCUUUCGAGGACAUCAACCACACAAGGCAAAUCAAGUUGCGAACCCAGAAUAUCUAGUAACCCACAGAUAACAGCAGCGUCUGGGUAGCAGGGGCUUUACCACUAGAAAUCUACCCUUAAGACUGAAAUAAGAAUUGGACUUAAAGAAAAUAUCUUGGUGUAUACAUGUGUAAGAAAGAAGAAGAAGAAGAAGAAGGAGAAGGAGAAGGAGAAGGAGAAGGAGAAGGAGAAGGAGAAGGAGAAGGAGAAGAAGAAGAAGAAGAGAGAGAGAGAGAGAGAGAGAGAGAGAGAGAGAGAGAGAGAGAACACCUAUAUUGAGGAUACUAUAUGACUACUAAUUUCUAAAGUGAAGAAAGUUCCUGUAAAAUCUGUUUAUAAUUACCAACUUCUGAAAAUACAAGAAUUCUGUUGUUGUAGUUCACUAAUUUGUUAUGGUAGCCAUGGAUUUUUAAUACAGUCGUGUUCCAGUUUACAGCCUUAUAACUGAAGUUAAGGGGUCAUUUAAUGUGUUCAUGAAAUGUAAAAAAUAGGGAAAUACCCAGUAUCAUAGUCCUGGAGAAAUCUGCUCACACAUGACUUAGGUGCUUGCUGGAAUUCUCAAUUGUGCUUGCUAAUUUUAACUGACUGCCCCAAGGCCAAGGCUCCAGGUUCAGAUCUCUGUAGAAUGGGUCUCAUUGUUAUAGCAACCAAACAAACCCAGCAAAAAGAAAGGAAACAUUUUAGGAUAAUUAAUUUUCUCUUUCCUACCAAGAACCAAUACUUUAAGUUGAGAUUUUUUCUCUAACAGGUUUGCUGUGGGGUCUUGGUCUAACAAGGGCUUCUUAAGAAGAUAUUAUGCUAUUUCUUUCCAGCUGUGUUUUACAUAGUAAAUGUAUUCCUUGUACAAGCCAAAACAAGAUUUUUUCACCCCCGACAGUGUGGAGUUCAGUAUUCACUUUAAAAUCAAGCUGUUCUUUCUUUACACAUCUAAUAAAACUGACAAAAAGCACUGAAAACUUUACA
rnacentral:lncRNA from 1 species